rnacentral:rRNA from 1 species
AACGAACGCUGGCGGCAGGCCUAACACAUGCAAGUCGAGCGAAGCCUUCGGGCUUAGCGGCGGACGGGUGAGUAACGCGUGGGAACGUGCCCUUUGGUACGGAAUAGCCCCGGGAAACUGGGAGUAAUACCGUAUGUGGUCGAGAGACGAAAGAUUUAUCGCCAAAGGAUCGGCCCGCGUUGGAUUAGGUAGUUGGUGGGGUAAUGGCCUACCAAGCCGACGAUCCAUAGCUGGUUUGAGAGGAUGAUCAGCCACACUGGGACUGAGACACAGACCAGAAUCCUACGGUAGGCAGCAGUGGGGAAUCUUAGACAGUGGGGGAAACCCAGAUCUAGCCAUGCCGGGUGAUCGAUGGAGGCCUUAGAGUUGUAAAGAUCUUUCAGUGGGGAAGAUAAUGACUGUACCCACAGAAGAAGCCCCGGCUAACUCCGUGCCAGCCGCCGCCGUAAAAC